rnacentral:rRNA from 1 species
GUGCAAGCGUUAAUCGGAAUCACGUGGGACGUAAAGCGCUCGUAGGUGGUCUUGUAAGUCAGGUGUGAAAGCCCACGGCUCAACCGUGGAAUUGCACUUGAUACUGCAUUGCUUGAGUUCGGGAGAGGGUAGUGGAAUUCCAGGUGUAGGAGUGAAAUCCGUAGAGAUCUGGAGGAACACCAGUGGCGAAGGCGACUACCUGGACCGAUACUGACACUGAGGAGCGAAAGCGUGGGGAGC